GGGUGUGGGAGAGAGAGCAAAGCUCAGAUAACAGGAAAGGGUGUAAAAUUUCAGCUUGAGGUUUGCAUUUUAGAGUAAAGAUGAGCUAUGGUCUGUUUCCUGAGGAAGUCACGCCCUUAGAACUUCAGCCCCAGGACUUAAGCUUCUGAUUGCCACUGUACUGGGUUGGACCCUCUUCUCUUGCCUGAUGUUCUGCUGGAGAGAGCCUGAGGGGUCAGGGAUGUGGCAGUUUUCCACCUUGUGCCUCUGUGUACUCACGGCUUCUGUGACUACAGACUCCACAGUAACUUUGCUGGAGCAGAAGCCAAGGUGGCGUCUGGUAGCACGUGGUCAAGCUGCGACCCUGCGCUGUAUCUUGAAGAAUUCCCAGUACCCCUGGAUGAGCUGGUACCAACAGGAUCUCCAACAGCCACUACAGUGGCUGGUCACUCUGGGGAGUUCUGGGGACAAAGAAGUCAAAUCUCUCCCCGGUGCUGAUUAUCUGGCCACACGAGUCACCGAUACGGAGCUGAGGCUACAAGUGGCCAACAUGACCCAGGGCAGAACCUUGUACUGCACCUGCAGUAGAGACACAGUGGUAGGCUCUGCUGGCGCAUUGGAACAAAAACCACAUACACAGCCUGCCCUGCCUUCCAGCCCUUGCUCUUCUGCGAGCCUUUCCCAGCCUUCUUCCUUUCUACCCCGACUCCCUCACCCCAUUGCCCUAGCAAGAAGUGGACUCUCCUGA